rnacentral:rRNA from 1 species
UCCGGAGAAGAAGCCUUUGAAAGGCUACUACAUCCAAGGAAGGCAGCAGGCGCGUAACUUAUCCACUACCACAGUGAGAUAGUAACUAGUCUUAACUAUUGACUGAUCUUUUAGGUUAGUCAUGGUCCAUGAGUUGAGCCUAAAUAGCUCUUCGAGGACCAAGUGGAGGGCAAGUCUGGUGCCAGCAGCCGCGGUAAUUCCAGCUCCACUAGCGUAAAAUAUUACUGCUGCGGUUAAAAAGCUCGUAGUUGAAUCUAGUCGUGUCCGUUGGGUUUGUCGUUGGCGUUUAUUCGUCUCUGGCGUUAAUUCACGGCCGAUUUUUGCUGGUUUGCUGUUGGUCUUCGGAUCUUCGGUGGCUAGCGAGUUACUUUGAUCAAAUCAGAGUGCUCAAAACAGGCGAAAGCUUGUAUGAUUUCUCGAGGAAUAACAGAAGAGGACUUCGGUUCUAUUUGUUGGUUCCAGAAUCGUUUAAUGGUUAAGAGGGACAAUUCGGGGGCAAACGUAUCCUCGCGCGAGGGGUGAAAUCCGUAGACCGUGAGGAGACGACCAAUAGCGAAAGCAUUUGCCAAGAAUGUCUCCAUUAAUCAAGAACGAAAGUCAGAGGUUCGAAGGCGAUUAGAUACCGCCCUAGUUCUGACCGUAAA